CGACCGGCGCACGGGUGAGUAACACGUAUGCAACCUGGCCGUCACACGGUGGAGUAACCGGAAGAAAUUCCGACUAAUACAGCAUAACACUCCUGAGGGACAUCCUUCGGGAGUCAAAGGAGGCAACUCCGGUGGACGGAUGGGCAUGCGGCGCAUUAGGUAGUUGGUAGGGUAACGGCCUACCAAGCCGACGAUGCGUAGGGGUUCUGAGAGGAAGGUCCCCCACAUUGGAACUGAGACACGGUCCAAACUCCUACGGAAGGCAGCAG
rnacentral:rRNA from 1 species